AACGAACGCUGGCGGCAGGCUUAACACAUGCAAGUCGAGCGCCCCGCAAGGGGAGCGGCAGACGGGUGAGUAACGCGUGGGAAUCUACCGUACCCUACGGAAUAGCUCCGGGAAACUGGAAUUAAUACCGUAUACGCCCUACGGGGGAAAGAUUUAUCGGGGUAUGAUGAGCCCGCGUUGGAUUAGCUAGUUGGUGGGGUAAAGGCCUACCAAGGCGACGAUCCAUAGCUGGUCUGAGAGAAUGAUCAGCCACAUUGGGACUGAGACACGGCCCAAACUCCUACGGGAGGCAGCAGUGGGGAAUAUUGGACAAUGGGCGCAAGCCUGAUCCAGCCAUGCCGCGUGAGUGAUGAAGGUCUUAGGAUUGUAAAGCUCUUUCACCGAUGAAGAUAAUGACGGUAGUCGGAGAAGAAGCCCCGGCUAACUUCGUGCCAGCAGCCGCAGUAAUAC
rnacentral:rRNA from 1 species